rnacentral:rRNA from 1 species
AGUGAACGCUGGCGGUAGGCCUAACACAUGCAAGUCGAACGGCAGCACAGUAAGAGCUUGCUCUUACGGGUGGCGAGUGGCGGACGGGUGAGGAAUACAUCGGAAUCUACUUUUUCGUGGGGGAUAACGUAGGGAAACUUACGCUAAUACCGCAUACGACCUACGGGUGAAAGCAGGGGAUCUUCGGACCUUGCGCGAUUGAAUGAGCCGAUGUCGGAUUAGCUAGUUGGCGGGGUAAAGGCCCACCAAGGCUACGAUCCGUAGCUGGUCUGAGAGGAUGAUCAGCCACACUGGAACUGAGACACGGUCCAGACUCCUACGGGAGGCAGCAGUGGGGAAUAUUGGACAAUGGGCGCAAGCCUGAUCCAGCCAUACCGCGUGGGUGAAGAAGGCCUUCGGGUUGUAAAGCCCUUUUGUUGGGAAAGAAAAGCAGCAGGUUAAUACCCCGCUGUUCUGACGGUACCCAAAGAAUAAGCACCGGCUAACCUCGUG